GGACUACCGGGGUAUCUAAUCCUGUUUGAUCCCCUUGCUCUCGCGCCUCAGCGUCAGGAAAUAGCUAGAAAACCGCUUUCGCCACAGGUGUUCUUCCACAUAUCUACGCAUUUCACCGCUACACGUGGAAUUCCGUUUUCUCCGCCAUCCCUCUAGACUAGUAGUUUCAAAUGCAGUGCCGAAGUUGAGCUUCGGGAUUUCACAUCUGACUUACUAAUCCGCCUACGCGCCCUUUACGCCCAAUAAAUCCGAUUAAUGCUUGCACCCUCCGUAUUACCGCGGCUGCUGGCAC
rnacentral:rRNA from 1 species